ensembl:lncRNA
UGGUGAUAUGCUGGAGCUGGAGAAAAGCUUGGAAAGGGACAUUGAAAAUGCUCAAAAAGUGCUUGAAUUUCACCCUGAAAAAGGCGUAUGAACCCUGCAGUGAGAACCAUGCAUGUAGAGACCAUCCAUUCACCUUUUCUGCAUCGCACAAAGACACGGCAGGUGGACCAAAAAUCUCAACUCUGGACAAAGUCGACAGUGGUGCAGUCAGACGUCCUUUUUAAUUCCUUCCUUUUUUUGAAGCGUAAGAGCAGGAACAGUUACAAAAACAGGUCUUUGACGCUCGUCUGCCAGUGUCUGCUCAUCUGUACACGUUUUUUAGGACUGCAUUAUGCAAACACAACCUUGGUGAGAUGAAGAAGGUCGACGUGUUGUAUGUAACUAAAACUCAGUUGAGGAAGUUUCUGUAUCAAUUCUGACCAGUGUUUGUAAAGACGUAAUAAUGUCUGUGUCUAAUAUUGUCUAAUGUGUGUAAUAAUGUCUGUGCUUGUAAGAUUGUGUUUGUAGCAAAGCCAAUUUGAACUCAUCACUAAAGAGAGCCGUUAAAUAUGGUCGUGUUGAUGAGCUCCCAGGAUUAUUCAUAUUUGGACUAAAGCAGCUGGGAUUAGGAACAAGCUGGAACAUGAAUUUUAUGAUAAUAAACUUGAUUCAGCAGAAUCGGAGGCUGCAGGUAACUCCCAGGUAAGAAGUCCAGAACGAAGGCUGCCAACAUCCAGAGACUGGUGACUCCUCGUGCGCUGCAGCACUCAAGAGACAGCACACCCAGAAGAACAAGGAGGAGGCCUCAGAGUACGCCAAGCUGCUGGCCAAGAGGAUGAAGACAGGAGGCCAAGGAGAAGUGCCAGGAACAGAUCGCCAAGAGGCGCCGCCUUCAUUCUAUGAGGGCGUCCACAUCCAAGUCAGAGUCCAGCCAGAAGUGAAACAGAAUCAAAUAAAGUCAUGUUUUGCUGAAA